GCGAGGGUAGUCUAGUGGUUAUGAUGUCUGCUUUACAUUACUCAAGAAUGUAAUAGCGCAGAAGGUCGGGAGUUCGAUCCUCCCCUCUCGUA